AUUGAACGCUGGCGGCAGGCUUAACACAUGCAAGUCGAGCGGGGGAAGGUAGCUUGCUACUGGACCUAGCGGCGGACGGGUGAGUAAUGCUUAGGAAUCUGCCUAUUAGUGGGGGACAACAUCUCGAAAGGGAUGCUAAUACCGCAUACGUCCUACGGGAGAAAGCAGGGGAUCUUCGGACCUUGCGCUAAUAGAUGAGCCUAAGUCGGAUUAGCUAGUUGGUGGGGUAAAGGCCUACCAAGGCGACGAGCUGUAGCGGGUCUGAGAGGAUGAUGCGCCACACUGGGACUGAGACACGGCCCAGACUCCUACGGGAGGCAGCAGUGGGGAAUAUUGGACAAUGGGGGGAACCCUGAUCCAGCCAUGCCGCGUGUGUGAAGAAGGCCUUAUGGUUGUAAAGCACUUUAAGCGAGGAGGAGGCUACUUUAGUUAAUACCUAGAGAUAGUGGACGUUACUCGCAGAAUAAGCACCGGCUAACUCUGUGCCAGCAGCCGCCGUAA
rnacentral:rRNA from 1 species